CACACACACAAUGCACCCCUUGCACACAGAAAAACACACAAUGCAUUACACACACACACACACACACACAAGCAAUUCAACCCUUACACACAAUGCAUCCCUUACACACACAGAAACACACAAUGCAUUCCUUACACACACUCAAUGCACCCCUUACAGAUGCACACACUGCAUCCCGUACAUACAUAGAAACACACAUUGCAGCCCUUACACAUACAAACACAGAUUCACACAAUGCAUUCCUUACACACAUAUCAGGACAUCCCCUACUCCUGUGAACAAACUAAUUGGUGGAACAUGAAGGUGGACCCUGGGGCCCAGACCUUGAGCUGUGUAAAGGGCCCCCAAAAAAUGGAGCUGCUUCCCGUUCUCCCAGAACACAAACAGCCUCCAGAGAGCCUGUUCUACACCAGACGAGUGGAGCCAGACUGCAGCUAGAGCCCAUCACCAUCCUCAUCUGAUUGUAAGUAGGCAAUCUAGUAUAUUAUUCGUGGCACUAAUCUCUAAUUUACCUCACAUUAAAGGGACAUUUUAGUCCCCAGAACCACUGCAGCUUAAUGUAGUGGUUCUGCUGUCUAUAGCCUGUCCCUGCAGGCCUUUUAAUGUAAACACGGCGGCACUGCAGCACUUGCGUUAGUUAACAUGGGGCAUUGUGAUGUC